GAAAUGCGAUACGUAAUGUGAAUUGCAGAAUUCAGUGAAUCAUCGAAUCUUUGAACGCAUAUUGCGCUCUCUGGUAUUCCGGAGAGCAUGCUUGUUUGAGUAUCAGUAAACACCUCAACUCCCUUUUCUUUUUUGAAAUUGGAGCUGGACUUGAGUGAUCCCAACGCUUUCUUCCAAGAAAGUGGCGGGUUGCUUGAAAUGCAGGUGCAGCUGAACUUUUCUCUGAGCUAUAAGCAUAUCUAUUUAGUCUGCCUAAAAAACAGAUUAUUACCUUUGCUGCAGCUAACAUAAAGGAGACUAGUUCUUGUGCUGACUGAUGCAGGAUUCACAGAGACAGCUUCGGCUGACUUUGUAAACUCGAUCUCAAAUCAAGUAAGACUACCCGCUGAACUUAA
rnacentral:misc_RNA from 1 species